rnacentral:lncRNA from 1 species
UAUGUUUUCAUAUUGAUGUGCAAGUGGUGACAUAUUCUUAUUUUUUAUUUAUAUACCUAACAAGCACAAGCAUCUAAUCAGAUGAAAGUAAACACUAGUAUCUUUAACACAAAACAUUUCCAAAGCAUUUCUGAUGUCUAUAAAAAUUCUAUUAUAUUUAUGCUUUAAACAUCUUUGUUUUUUCAGUAUUUUCCAGUCAGAAGUGAAAGGUUUGCUUAUACAGUUCUGCUGAAUCCACUUGAACACUUUUGCCUUGUGAAUUGGGAAUGAAAUAUCCCCUGUACACUGAAGGGUUUUACUCCUAGGAUUUGAUCACUCCAAAACAGAUACUGAGAAGUUGAAUUAAAUACUUAUUUAAGAAAUUAAGUAGGAAAUAACAUAAUUUAACUGAAAACAGAGAGUAAAGUUUGAUUAUUGGAGGAAUGAGCUACAUUUCACCCAGACCAUCGUGGUUUGGAAUACUGCAGGGAGUUAUAAGGAUAUCAUAACAGCAAGCUGCAGCUGGGCCCCAAUUUAUGAACUGUAACCUCCACAGUCUUUUAAAGUUUGUUUUUCCUUUACUUUAACUAACCGGUCUUAGAAGUUCUUUUUGAAAUUUAGCAUAUGAGAAAGAUCACUAAAAAAAAACCAAUUUGCUGUUUCAAUACUUUUUUCUCUUAGAUUACAAAAUGGAUAUUUUGAAAAAAAAAAAUUAAUUACUUUUAACAAUUGCUAUAUGGGUUUCAUUCCAAAUCCAAAGAUCCUCACUCAGUUUUUUAGUUUUAGAGGAAACUAUUGAUGGAUGCAUUGGAUUGAAGAGGCAAGAUGCAUCAUUUCACCUGCUUGGGACUGGAUGCAAAAGUUGGACCAGGGCUGCCUGACCUGACCACCCCACUCCACCUGGGUAAGGAGUGCGUGUCCCUGUCCCCAGCCCUCAUCCCGAAGCGGCUGCUCCCGGGAGGGGACGGGUUGAGCUACGGGCGAACACCUGGAUCCUGGAAAUACCUGGAGUCCGGGAACGGUACCGCAGGACACAGUGCCCGAAGUCAGGGCAUUGUGAACUGCUCUGGGAAUAAAGGCACUGCAGAAAUACACUGGGUUUUUUUUAGAUGAGUGUCAUUGCUUUAAUAGAAAGUACUUUAAAGAGGUUUCCGUAGCCUCUUCAGCGUGCAAAAUACAAAGCAAAACAAAAACCGCAAACAAAUCAAAGCACCCAAACUAUCGAGAAGAACCACCAUCAACAACGAGUGCUGUGUUGCGGUUCCUCUCCCCUCUCGCUCCCCCGAGGCCGCGGUGAGGGAGCGGCGCUGCCCGCGGGCUCGGCCGGCGGCGAUCGCCGCUCAGGACGGCUCUGCCCGGCGCUCUUUCCCUCCCUCGGGCGGGACUCCAGCUCACCCCGGCUGCCGCAGGUGCCCGGCGCCGCUCUCUGCCGCCCUGCCGGGGCCGGGCUCUGCUCUGCCCGGGCACCAGCGCCCGCCCUCCGCAGGUGCGCGGGGCC